GGACGAACGCUGGCGGCGUGCUUAACACAUGCAAGUCGAACGGAAAGGCCCUGCUUGCAGGGUACUCGAGUGGCGAACGGGUGAGUAACACGUGGGUGAUCUGCCCUGCACUUCGGGAUAAGCUUGGGAAACUGGGUCUAAUACCGGAUAGGAGCCAUCUUUAGUGUGGUGGUUGGAAAGUUUUUUCGGUGUAGGAUGAGCUCGCGGCCUAUCAGCUUGUUGGUGGGGUAAUGGCCUACCAAGGCGGCGACGGGUAGCCGGCCUGAGAGGGUGUACGGCCACAUUGGGACUGAGAUACGGCCCAGAGUCCUACGGGAGGCAGCAGUGGGGAAUAUUGCACAAUGGGCGCAAGCCUGAUGCAGCGACGCCGCGUGGGGGAUGAAGGCCUUCGGGUUGUAAACUCCUUUCGCUAGGGACGAAGCUUUGUUGUGACGGUACCUAGAUAAGAAGCACCGGCUAACUACGUG
rnacentral:rRNA from 1 species